GCUGCCGAAGGGCACUCAAAAACAGGAUGAGACGGGCUAGAACAGAGAGCACACACUUGUGCUUGGAAAAAGUUUGGAAGCUGUUCUCUAGACAUUAGAUGGUCCAACUUGCGGGACAGUGCAUCUACUUUGUCAGAUAGACCUAUGGACUGGCUAACUUCAUAUAUGGUCCCUUUUCUUUAAGAACUCGGGGGUGCUUGACGAGCAGAGGAGGCAUGGUGGAGAGAAUUUU
rnacentral:lncRNA from 1 species